UGGGGAAUCUUGCGCAAUGGGCGAAAGCCUGACGCAGCCAUGCCGCGUGAAUGAUGAAGGUCUUAGGAUUGUAAAAUUCUUUCACCGGGGACGAUAAUGACGGUACCCGGAGAAGAAGCCCCGGCUAACUUCGUGCCAGCAGCCGCGGUAAUACGAAGGGGGCUAGCGUUGCUCGGAAUUACUGGGCGUAAAGGGCGCGUAGGCGGACAUUUAAGUCAGGGGUGAAAUCCCAGAGCUCAACUCUGGAACUGCCUUUGAUACUGGGUGUCUUGAGUGUGAGAGAGGUAUGUGGAACUCCGAGUGUAGAGGUGAAAUUCGUAGAUAUUCGGAAGAACACCAGUGGCGAAGGCGACAUACUGGCUCAUUACUGACGCUGAGGCGCGAAAGCGUGGGGAGCAAACAGGAUUAGAUACCCAGGUAGUCCCUGAGCGGGCUGGCAAGGCGCAU
rnacentral:rRNA from 1 species